AGUGAACGCUGGCGGUAGGCCUAACGCAUGCAAGUCGAACGGCAGCACAGUAAGAGCUUGCUCUUACGGGUGGCGAGUGGCGGACGGGUGAGGAAUACAUCGGAAUCUACUUUUUCGUGGGGGAUAACGUAGGGAAACUUACGCUAAUACCGCAUACGACCUACGGGUGAAAGCAGGGGAUCUUCGGACCUUGCGCGAUUGAAUGAGCCGAUGUCGGAUUAGCUAGUUGGCGGGGUAAAGGCCCACCAAGGCGACGAUCCGUAGCUGGUCUGAGAGGAUGAUUAGGCACCCUGGAAAUGAGACAAGGGCCCGACCCCUAAGGGAGGCCGGCAGGGGGAAAAUUGGACAAUGGGGGGAAGGCUUGUCCCACCAUACCCGGGGGGUGAAGAAGGCCUUUCGGGUUGUAAGCCCUUUUGUUGGGAAAGAAAAGCAGCAGGUUAAUACCCCGCUGUUCUGACGGUACCCAAAGAAUAAGCACCGGCUAACUUCGUG
rnacentral:rRNA from 1 species